rnacentral:rRNA from 1 species
AGCUCCGAUAGCGUAUAUUAAAGUUGUUGCAGUUAAAAAGCUCGUAGUUGAACUUCUAAAGGUUGAAGUCGCCUUAUGGCUUGACUGAUAUCUUUAUCCGCUUUGAUUUAGCAAUACGCACUUUGUUGGGCGAUUGUGUAAUCAAGCAAUUUACUUUGAAAAAAUUAGAGUGUUUCAGGCAGGCGAUUUGCUGGAAUACAUUAGCAUGGAAUAAUAGAAUAAGACCUCUUAGGCAUUUUAUUGGUAUAUGACUGGAGGUAAUGAUUAACAGGGACAGUUGGGGGCAUUAGUAUUGCAUUGUCAGAGGUGAAAUUUCAUUGAUUAGUGCAAGACUAACUUAUGCGAAAGCAUUUGCCAAGGAUGUUUUCA